rnacentral:rRNA from 1 species
GACGAACGCUGGCGGCGUGCCUAAUACAUGCAAGUAGAACGCUGAAGGAGGAGCUUGCUUCUCUGGAUGAGUUGCGAACGGGUGAGUAACGCGUAGGUAACCUGCCUGGUAGCGGGGGAUAACUAUUGGAAACGAUAGCUAAUACCGCAUAAGAGUAGAUGUCGCAUGACAUUUGCUUAAAAGGUGCAAUUGCAUCACUACCAGAUGGACCUGCGUUGUAUUAGCUAGUUGGUGAGGUAACGGCUCACCAAGGCAACGAUACAUAGUCGACCUGAGAGGGUGAUCGGCCACACUGGGACUGAGACACGGCCCAGACUCCUACGGGAGGCAGCAGUAGGGAAUCUUCGGCAAUAGACGGAAGUCUGACCGAGCAACGCCGCGUGAGUGAAGAAGGUUGUCGGAUCGUAAAGCUCUGUUGUAAGAGAAGAACGAGUGUGAGAGUGGAAAGUUCACACUGUGACGGUAUCUUACCAGAAAGGGACGGCUAACUACGUG